UUUACGACGCCCUGCCUCCGACUCCGCCGGACCUUUGCAGCGGUGCGCGGGGUUCCUGCCCGGAAGAGGCAGCUGAGGCACCCGCGCGCGGACAACAUGGCGCGGUCCAGGAGUAAGGCAGCUAUUGUGCUCUGUAUGGAUGUGGGGUCUGCCAUGAGUAACUCCCUUCCCGGCGAAGAAUCUCCAUUUGAACUGGCAAAGAAGUUGAUGACCAUGUUUGUGCAGCGACAGGUGUUUGCUGAGAGCAAGGAUGAAAUUGCAUUAGUCCUUUUUGGUACAGAUGGUACUGAGAAUGCCCUUGCUGGUAAGGAUCAGUAUCAGAACAUCACAGUCCACAGACACCUGAUGCUACCAGAUUUUGACCUGCUGGAGGACAUCGGAAGCAAAAUCCAACCAGGUUCUCAACAAGCUGACUUCCUGGAUGCACUCAUUGUGUGCAUGGAUGUGAUUCAACAAGAAACUGUAGGAAAGAAGUUUGAAAAGAGGCAUAUUGAAGUGUUCACUGACCUCAGCAGCCCAUUCAGCCAAGAUCAGCUGGAUAUUAUAAUCCAUAACUUGGAGAAAUCUGGCAUCUCCCUGCAGUUCUUUUUGCCAUUCCCUGUUGGCAAGGAGGAUGGAACCGGGGACAGAGGAGAUGGUAACUCCUGCUUGGACCACCAUGGACCCUCCUUUCCUCUAAAAGGAAUUACUGAGCAGCAGAAAGAAGGUAUUCGGAUGGUGAAAAAGGUGAUGAUGUCUUUAGAAGGUGAAGAUGGGCUGGAUGAAAUUUAUUCCUUCAGUGAGAGUCUGAGACAACUGUGUGUCUUUAAGAAAACUGAGAGGUAUUCCGUCCCUUGGCUCUGCACACUGACCAUUGGCUCCAAUUUGGCUAUAAAAAUUGUGGCUUACAAAGCGAUUAUGCAGGAGAAAGUUAAAAAGUCUUGGACAGUUGUGGAUGCAAGAACCCUAAAAAAAGAAGAUAUACAAAGAGAAACAGUUUAUUGCUUACAGGACGACGAUGAAACGGAGGUUCCAAAAGAGGACACUAUUCAAGGGUUCCGCUAUGGAAGUGAUAUAGUUCCUUUCUCUAAAGUGGAUGAAGAACAAAUGAAAUAUAAAUCAGAGGGGAAGUGCUUCUCUGUUUUGGGAUUUUGUAGAUCUUCUCAGGUCCACAGAAGAUAUUUUGUGGGAAAUCAAGUCCUAAAGGUCUUUGCAGCGAAAGAUGAUGAGGCAGCAGCAGUGGCACUUUCCUCCCUGAUUCAUGCUUUGGAUGAAUUAGACAUGGUGGCCGUGGUUCGAUAUGCUUAUGCCGGAAGAACUAAUCCUCAAGUUGGCAUGGCUUUUCCUUAUAUCAAGGAUGCCUAUGAGUGUUUAAUGUACGUGCAGCUGCCUUUUAUGGAAGACUUGCGACAAUAUAUGUUUUCAUCCUUGAAAAAUAGUAAGAAAUGCACUCCCACAGAGGCUCAGUUGAGUGCUGUUGAUGCUUUGAUUGACUCCAUGAGCUUGGUAAAGAAAGAUGAAAAGGAAGACACCAUUGAAGACUUGUUUCCAACCACCAAAAUCCCAAACCCUCAACAUCAGAGGUUGUAUCAGUGUCUGGCGCACAGAGCUUUACAUCCCCAAGAGCCUCUGCCCCCAAUUCAGCAGCAUAUUUUGAAUAUGCUGGAUCCCCCUGCUGAGGUGACAGCUAAAUGUCAGAUUCCUCUCUCUAAAAUAAAGACCGUUUUCCCUCUGACUGAAGCCACCAAGAAAAAGGAUCAAGUGCCUGCUCAGAACAUUUUCCCAGACAACCAUGAAGAGGGACCUGUCUCUAAAAAACUGAAGACUCAGGAAGGGGAAGCAUGCUUUAGCGUCUCCAGCCUGGCUGAAGGCAGUGUCACCAGAGUCGGAAGUGUGAAUCCUGCUGAGAACUUCCGUGUUCUAGUGAGGCAGAAGAAAGCCAGCUUUGAGGAAGCAAGUCGCCAGCUAAUAAAUCAGAUCGAGCAGUUUUUGGAUACUAAUGAAACACCGUAUUUUAUGAAGAGCAUGGACUGCAUCACAGUGUUCCGGGAAGAAGCCAUUCAGGUUUCGGAAGAGCAGUGCUUUAACAAUUUCCUGAAAGCCCUUCGAGAGAAAGUGGAAAUUAAACAAUUAAAGCAUUUCUGGGACAUUGUCGUUCAGGAUGGAAUUACUCUGAUCACCAAAGAUGAAGCCCCCGGAAGUUCCAUCACAGCUGAAGAAGCCAAAAAGUAGACAUGAAGAUGUGAGGCAGCUAAAGAAACGGAUGCUUCUUCUUCAGGACCCAAAGAACUUUGGGUCCCAUGUUUUAGAGGCAACUUGCCGGUGAACGUGCAUCGGACAUGCAGAGUAUCUACCACUUUCUAGCCUUGUGGAUUUAGAUGAACAAGAUGCUGGAGCCAAAAGGAGCUCUGGAGGCCAGCUGAUCCUGCAGAUGUGGUGACAAGCCUCCACUCCUGCCUCCUCUCCCCCUGCCAGGAGCCUUCAGCAGUGCCAGUGGGGGAAUGCUCCCCGCCUGCAGGGCUGUCCACUGUCACACAGCUGCGGGGCAGGACUUACACGGAAGGCUACCACUGCCAAACUCCUCCUCCAGACAUUACCCCUCAAGAGCCCAGCCCUGUCAGAAUCUGUACUAAAGAACCUGUCGGGCAAGUGUGGGGAAAGAUCAGUCUAACCA